rnacentral:rRNA from 1 species
CUAAUACAUGCAAGUCGAACGAGUUCUCGUUGAUGAUCGGUGCUUGCACCGAGAUUCAACAUGGAACGAGUGGCGGACGGGUGAGUAACACGUGGGUAACCUGCCCUUAAGUGGGGGAUAACAUUUGGAAACAGAUGCUAAUACCGCAUAGAUCCAAGAACCGCAUGGUUCUUGGCUGAAAGAUGGCGUAAGCUAUCGCUUUUGGAUGGACCCGCGGCGUAUUAGCUAGUUGGUGAGGUAAUGGCUCACCAAGGCGAUGAUACGUAGCCGAACUGAGAGGUUGAUCGGCCACAUUGGGACUGAGACACGGCCCAAACUCCUACGGGAGGCAGCAGUAGGGAAUCUUCCACAAUGGACGCAAGUCUGAUGGAGCAACGCCGCGUGAGUGAAGAAGGCUUUCGGGUCGUAAAACUCUGUUGUUGGAGAAGAAUGGUCGGCAGAGUAACUGUUGUCGGCGUGACGGUAUCCAACCAGAAAGCCACGGCUAACUACGUGCCAGCAGCCGCGGUAAUACGUAGGUGGCAAGCGUUAUCCGGAUUUAUUGGGCGUAAAGCGAGCGCAGGCGGUUUUUUAAGUCUGAUGUGAAAGCCCUCGGCUUAACCGAGGAAGCGCAUCGGAAACUGGGAAACUUGAGUGCAGAAGAGGACAGUGGAACUCCAUGUGUAGCGGUGAAAUGCGUAGAUAUAUGGAAGAACACCAGUGGCGAAGGCGGCUGUCUGGUCUGUAACUGACGCUGAGGCUCGAAAGCAUGGGUAGCGAACAGGAUUAGAUA